GGGGGUGACACUGGUUUCGACGGGAUUAUACGUUCUUUGAACUGCGCACCGUGUUCCCGCAGACACGUUAAACGGCGGCAAAAACUGUAACUGGCGAAUCUAAUUACGCCCUAGCUGCUUAAUAAUAUAAGCAGCCGUUCACCAAGUUCUCUCAUAUCGGGACUUGGCUGAGCGCCGACCUAGAUAUGAUUGCUGAAUCAUUUUUUCCGGCUUGAUUUGGUGAAAUUUAACGGGAUAGUUCCGGCAUAAUUUGUCUAUCAAUGCUGCCGAGGAUGAAACUAAUUGAUAUACUAUGUGUGUAGACGUUCAUAGAAAGGUAAUUUCGGACCCGGGUUCGACUCCCGGCACCUCCACUC
rnacentral:tmRNA from 1 species